rfam:Asian citrus Psyllid, Diaphorina citri - Florida Strain, whole genome shotgun sequence.
GCCAGAGGUGACCGCACGUUUUAUACAUUUGUUUCCAAGUCCCAAUGGAUAAGUGAAUACUGAAGUUAAGCAUAGUUGCGCGUGGUUAGUAUCCGGAUGCGUGACCGACUGGACAAUCACGUGCUGUUGGCU